ensembl:lncRNA
CCACCAGCGCGCGUCUCCAGGACACAGGACUGGCGCAGCUCCUGCCGGGUCCGGAGGCGAAGCAGAUGGGACCAAGGGACCAUCGCGUGUACAGGGUCACCGCAGGCUGGCAGCCCGGAUUUCAGGAGCACCGAGGGGGUGGUCGCAGCGCAACCUGGCUCCUCCUGAUUCAUUCUGCACAAGUUUCUUCUCCAAGGCUCGGCGGGUGUUACGAAGCCCCGUUAUCAGGAAGGAGCCUUGGAAAGACUCUUGAGAGUCCCUUGUACUACAAGGAGAUCAAACCAGUCAAUCCUAAUGGAAAUCAACCAUGAAUAUUCAUUGGAAGAACUGAUGCUGAAGCUGAACCUCCAAUACUUUGACCAUCUGAUUCGAAGAGCCAACUCAUUGAAAAAGACCCUGAUGCUGGGAAAAAUUGAAGGCAGGAGGAGAAGGGGACAAAACAGGAUGAGAUGGAUGGACAGACUCAGUGGACAUGAGUUUGACCAAGCUCCAGGAGAUGGUGAAAGACAGGGAAGCCUGGUGAGCUGCAGUCCAUGGGGUGACAAAGAGUUGUCCACUUUUCCCAGAACCAUUUGUUGAAAGAGUUGUUCUCUUAAUGUCCUUUUUAGACUUUUCACUGUUAGUGUAAAGGAAUGCAAUUGAAAUUUGUGUGUUAUCUUUGUAGCCUGAUGUUUUAUUGAAUUCACUUGUUAGUCCUAACAGUUUCGUGGGCUUCCCUGGUAGUUUAGCUAGUAAAGACUCCACCUGCAAUGUAGGAGACCCUGGUUUGAUCCCUGGGUCAGGAAGAUCCCCUGGAGAAAGGAUAGGCUACCCACACCAGUAUUCUUGGGCUUCCCUGGUGGCUCAGACAGUAAAGAAUCCACCUGCAAUGCGGGAGGCCUGGGCUCAAUCCCUGGGUUGGGAAGACACCCUGGAGAAGGGAUGGGCUACCCACUCCAGUAAUCUUUCUGUGGGGUCGCAAAGAGUCGGACACAACUGAACAGUUUUGUGUAUGUGUGUGGAAGCUUUAGGGUUUUCUACAUGUAAAACCAUGUCACUACAUGUAGAUUGCUAUUUGGUCAUAGAAUCAAGGACAAUUCCUAUGUAUAUUUCUGGAAUUCUUGCUCUGCCUAGUUCCCUCCUCUCCAGGACCUUGCCUUGCAAACACUAUUCACUUCAACCUCCCGAAACUCCUAUCUCGGUCUCUUUGACUUUUGAAACCACUGAGCUCUGUUUGGGUUGUCCUUUCAGACUCUGCAGUUUAGAAACUUCUUCAGGAAGAAAGCCUGGAAAGUUACAAGCUUGAUAUGACUUAGCCAAGGAGGCUGCUAAAUAUCUUAAAAGGCACCAAACACCCCCUCACAAAAGGAAUCAUCCACCCAAAAGAGUUAAGUAAAGCCCAAGUCGAGAAACCACAAUCUGGAGACUUAAGCAGAUUCCACAUGACUUUUUUGCAAGAGUAUUUCAUACAUGAUGUUGGGAAAUUCCUCUUGCAUCACAUGAGAUAUCACAUCACAUCUAGUUGCUCCUUAAUGACAUUAAUGUUGAUCAGCAGGUUUAGGUGUUGGUCAGCUCAACUCUUUAAUAACAAAGUUUCAGAUCAGCUUUUCAUCUCAGGUUUUAGCAUCCAUUGUGAUCUUUAUCUAAAUCAAUUACUUUAUUUGGAAUUGAAGUUGUGGUAAUUCUAUUCCUCUCAAUAUUUCUGCAUUAGCUGGAAGUUCUUAAAGUACUUUCACUUGUUAUCAAUUUGGUUGCCCAUAGGUAGAAUUCAUGGAGGACAGGUAAGAC